CCUACGGGGGGCAGCAGUGAGGAAUAUUGGUCAAUGGUCGGGAGACUGAACCAGCCAAGCCGCGUGAGGGAGGAAGGUACAGAGUAUCGUAAACCUCUUUUGUCAGGGAACAAAGGCGGGGACGUGUCCCCGGAUGAGUGUACCUGAAGAAAAAGCAUCGGCUAACUCCGUGCCAGCAGCCGCGGUAAUACGGAGGAUGCGAGCGUUAUCCGGAUCUAUUGGGUUUAAAGGGAGCGUAGACGGCUGGCCAAGUCUGAAGUGAAAGCCCGGGGCUUAACCCCGGAACGGCUUUGGAAACUGGCCGG
rnacentral:rRNA from 1 species